UCGCCGACCUGGUUCAGGCUCGAACGCUCGCGCUCCCAGCGCGACUGCAGCUCGUCGAGCUUCGCCUGCUCGUCGCCGAGC
rnacentral:tRNA from 1 species